rnacentral:hammerhead_ribozyme from 1 species
AUCCAGACAAGUUCUAAAUAGGACGAAACACGCGUCCUGGAU